UACGGAGGGUGCAAGCGUUAUCCGGAUUCACUGGGUUUAAAGGGAGCGUAGGCGGAAUAAUAAGUCAGUGGUGAAAGCCCCGGGCUCAACUUGGGAAUUGCCAUUGAUACUGUUAUUCUUGAGUUCGGUUGAGGUAGGCGGAAUGUUGCAUGUAGCGGUGAAAUGCUUAGAUAUGCAACAGAACACCGAUUGCGAAGGCAGCUUACCAAGCCGACACUGACGCUGAGGCUCGAAAGCGUCGGGAUCAAACAGG
rnacentral:rRNA from 1 species